AUUGAACGCUGGCGGCAGGCCUAACACAUGCAAGUCGAACGAGUGGCGGACGGGAGAGUUAUGUCUGGGACACCGCCUGAUGGAGGGGGAUAUCCACUGGAAACGGUAGCUAAUCCCGCAUACCAUCGGAUGUGCCCAGAUGGGUUUAGCUAGUAGGUGGGGUAAAGGCUCACCUAGGCGACGAUCCCUAGCUGGUCUGAGAGGAUGACCAGCCACACUGGGACUGAGACACGGUCCAGACUCCUACGGGAGGCAGCAGUGGGGAAUAUUGCACAAUGGGCGCAAGCCUGAUGCAGCCAUGCCGCGUGUAUGAAGAAGGCCUUCGGGUUGUAAAGUACUUUCAGCGGGGAGGCGUUACCCGCAGAAGAAGCACCGGCUAACUCCGUGCCAGCAGCCGCGGUAAUUC
rnacentral:rRNA from 1 species